UAUAAUUAUUUUUAACAAAAAAGUGGCUAUAACUGGAAAACGACUUAUUUUCGAACUUAUGUUUAUAUAGCUUUUUUUCUUACUUUUAGGGUCUCAAAUCACGUCCCGAAAUAUUCGUCGCGAUUUUCCGGACAUGCUAUAUAGUGUUUACAUUUAUGUUACAUUUGGUGUGUGCUAGGUUACUAUUUUGGCUUUAUGACUGUGUUUCAAGUCCGACAAAUAUGCGGCGUGCAGUUUAAGUUGGAAGUUGUAAAAAUUGUAAAAAUUAGAAAUUAUUAUUAUUUUGGACAUCAAGAACCGCUGUGAUUAAUAGGCCUUCUUGUCUCAUGAAUUAUUUAUAUAAACUAAUCUAUUAAUAAUUAAAAACAAUGUUAAUAUCUAGUUCGAACCUAGCAAAAACAAUAACAUAAUAAGAAAAGGUCAAGUACAAAGCAGUCAACCAAUGUUAUUUAUAUAUGACUGAUAUUGAAUCGCAAGACGUUUCACUUAAACCAUUUUCUCUUUCUCUCAGCUAAAACUUAACAACUCGAAAACAACUUUAAAAUUUAAAAACUUUACCUCUACAUUGCUUAAAUAAUAUAAUUAACAUAAAAUUGAUUAGAUGUGAUAGAAUAAUAUAUGGUCCAUGAAAACAUCUUUAAAGGUAUAAACAAAGUAAAGAAAUUAAUCAUAAAUUAAAAAUAGAACGUAAUAAGCUACAUGAAAGAAACGUUCUGUAAUUCACUAAACUAUCAAUCAUAUACAAAUGACAUCGGUUGUUUGCUUACUGCUUGCUAUUUGAUCUUUUCUUACUAUGUUAUUGUAAAUCUAUUAAUAAUCUACUGCGUAUAUUACAUACUAAUCAAUAUAUGCACAUUCAUAUAAAACACGUAAUAUCAGAAUGUGUUGAAAGCAACGUGACUAUUCCUACUGCGUAGUUCUCACGUAGAAGUGUUGUAGAACAAUAAUGUUUCUGAUGCCCUCUUGGGUGUAAUCUCGAAAAAAUACAUGCAGACAGCCCUUGCAUGAAGCUACGUUCUCUUUUUUUAUGCGAAUAAUUGGAUAUGUAGCACGGGAUAUAAAAUAUCUGACUAUCGUACAUUCCGUAUGUAAUAUAUUAUAUUAAAAAUUUCCUAUGUAAAUAUGAUAAAUUUCAAUUUUAUUGAAGGAUAUUUCAUCUUUGUUUUUCAAUAUGAUAUAAAUAACUAUUUAAAAUUUCAAUUUGUUUAAGUGACAGAUUUUAUACCGAUGGAAUCGACAUCAAACGUCAAUGAUAUUUGUGUAUCUCGUAACAAUAUCUGCAUAUAAAAAAUGUGAAUACUUUUCACUUCGUGUAAACACUCAUUAAUAUAAUACAAGAUAAUAAUGGUGGUCCAGACAUCAAGGGAACUAAUACUACACGGUUACGCAACGUAUUCAUAUUAAGUUAAGAGAUUCAAAAGGAUUCGGCAAACGUAGUACAAGAUUGAUACGAAUUGGUGGUUUUCUCUUUACUUAUCUUUUUUUUUCUCCCUUCCGAAGUUCACAACAUUCACUAUUGCUUACAAAUAAUACUGAAUCUACUUAAAGUAUUUUCAGCCGCACCCAAAGAGAGACUUUCUUAUGCAUUAUUGUGCGCAACAUUUCAAAACAUUCUCCGGCUUGUGCCGGCAUUCGCUUUAAUGUCGAAUUAGCGAGAUGUUAACGGCAGUUUUACGUAUAUACAUACGUACGUUCAGCAAUAAAUUUUCCUUCUAAGAUUAUCGACGAGUUGCAAAUCAACGGUUGCUAUUAACUCUUAAAGGAAUCUGCUUUCAUUCGCAAGAAUAGAAAAAGUUUACUAUAUGCUCGAAUUUAAUAGAAUUUGAAUUUAAACUUAAUAAAAGACGAUGGAUAGAAUGAGCGAAUUUUUAUCCUCGGAAUGAUAAAGUAUACUUUUUGUAGUUACUUGAACUUGCUGAAUUUAAUUGUGAAUUUAAAUAAUUUUAAUUUGUCGGAAAAGUAUUAAAACUAAGAAGCUAUUAAAUAUAUAAGAAGCUAUUAUAAAAACGAUGUGUUAAUGAAAAUA